AUUGAACGCUGGCGGAAUGCUUUACACAUGCAAGUCGAACGGUAGAGGGGGCAACCCCUUGAGAGUGGCGAACGGGUGAGUAAUAUAUCGGAACGUGCCCAGUCGUGGGGAUAACGUAGCGAAAGUUACGCUAAUACCGCAUACGAUCUAAGGAUGAAAGCGGGGGAUCGCAAGACCUCGCGCGAUUGGAGCGGCCGAUAUCAGAUUAGGUAGUUGGUGGGGUAAAGGCCCACCAAGCCAACGAUCUGUAGCUGGUCUGAGAGGACGACCAGCCACACUGGAACUGAGACACGGUCCAGACUCCUACGGGAGGCAGCAGUGGGGAAUUUUGGACAAUGGACGCAAGUCUGAUCCAGCCAUUCCGCGUGCAGGAUGAAGGCCCUCGGGUUGUAAACUGCUUUUGUACGGAACGAAAAGGUUUCUCUUAAUACUAGGAGCUCAUGACGGUACCGUAAGAAUAAGCA
rnacentral:rRNA from 1 species